rnacentral:lncRNA from 1 species
UCAGGAGCUACUUUCUUCUUUGAUUUUGGGGGCGUUCGGAUCGACGAAUCUGUAGAUCCAACAUAACUCAAGUGCAGUAAUGUUUGAGUUUUUUUGAAGUGUGAUUAUUUUUUUGAUAUUUGUUUUGACGUAACUCGUAUAGUUUGAAAGUUAAAUUUAGUUUUUUUUUUUUAUGUAACUUGGUGUUAGUGAAAUUAGUUUUUGAAGCUUUAUUGGUUGUUUUUAUAUAAGUAAGUUGGUCUUGUUAUGUCCUAAAUAUAGUUAUAAACUUACCGCUAAAAAAUUUAACCUACUAUGUAAUAAAUUUUUAAUUAUUAUUUAACGGUAAUUCUAAUUUAUUAUAAAUAAGGUAAUUCUAACCCAUUAUAAAGGAAGUAGAGUUUAAAUUUUACUAUUUAAUAAAUUUUAGAGAAUGUUGAGUGUGGCGGAAGUCGAGUUUGGCAUUUUAGAAGAAAAACCGAGAAAGUCGAGAGUAGGUGAAGUGAACGUUUAACAUAACUUGAAUUACAUUAUAUUUUUGACUUAUACGAAAAUAAAUAAUGAAAGUGAUAAAACUUAAGUUUCAUCCCUCCAGUUACACUAAAACAAACGGACCUUUUGCCGC